AACGAACGCUGGCGGCAGGCCUAACACAUGCAAGUCGAGCGAGGACUUCGGUUCUAGCGGCGUACGGUGGAGUAACGCGUGGGAAUGGUCCCUUCUCUACGGAAUACCUCUGAGAAACUGGGAGUAAUACCGUAUACGCCCUAUUAGGGAAUGAUUUAUUGGAGAAGUUUGAGCCGGCGUUGGAUUAGGUAGUGGGUAGGGUAAUGGCCUCCCAAGCCGAAGAUCCAUAGCUGGGUUGAGAGGAUGAUCAGCCACACUGGGAGUGAGACACGGCCCAGAAUCCUACGGGAUGCAGGAGUGGGGAAUCUUAGACAAUGGCGUCAAUCCUGAACGAGCCAUGACGCGUGAGUGCUGAAGGUAUUAGAGUAGUAAAGCUCUUUCAACUGGGAAGAUAAUGACGGUACCAGCAGAAGAAGCCCCGGCUAACUCCGUG
rnacentral:rRNA from 1 species